GCCGACAUAGCACAAUUGGUAGUGCAACUGAUUUGUAAUCAGUAGGUUUCAAGUUCAAGUCUUGAUGUCGGCACCA
rnacentral:tRNA from 3 species